rnacentral:lncRNA from 1 species
AGAUGACCUUUGCCAAGAGCACAGCCGUCUUUCCCUGUCACAGAGAAGUAGGAGAAAACGAUUGGUUUUCAAGAAUUGGUUUGUAGCACAAUAUUUUAACUAUGUCCUUUAAAAAGUUUCUCCACAGACACUACCCAAAGCAGUCCUUCACUACAGUGGCAGACAGACCUGAAAAUUUUCAUCUGAAGCAGCAGAGUGAACUGCAGAGUCAGGUCACCAACCAGUGUGGAGGCUAACAGCAGGCCUCUUUGGGGAUUCCAGGUGGAAGUGUUGGACAUCUGUAGUAUUCCUGGUCUCGAAUCAUCCUGAUAUUCUUCAUUUUGUUAUUCACAUUGGACUAGGCAGGAACAAAGAUCACCACAACUGGCUCCCCUUCAACUGUGUUAGAUGGCAGCUUGCCUUCAGUACGGUGAAACACAUUAGUUAAGACUGGGAUUGUGCAUGGCAGGACUUUCUACAAGGACACCCAGUCUCCUUAAUAAACAAGAGAUGCUCUCUUUCCAGAAGUUCUCUUGCCUGACACAGCAUAGGAAGAUGCUGAACGGCCACACAGUGAUCCAUUGGUCACUGGUGACGUAAGGAGGUCGGAGGGGAGGAGUGAGGAGAAGUAGGGAAGACUGGGUGGUUGUAGGCCUCCUUCAUCUGUUCAUUGGCUGUGUCAUUAGGCCAGCUAGUCUUUGCACUUCUGUAAAGUGAGACGAUCGAUCUUGUCUGCCUCUCUAGAGGAUGGCUGCAGGUGUCAAAUGGGUAGUUAGGUGGAAGGGCAUUUCAAAAAGUUAAAAAAUAUGACUUUGGAGGCUUGUUAUAUUGGUGAGGAUUAUAAUCCCUGAGAAUUC